rnacentral:misc_RNA from 1 species
UGCGCAACUUGGAAAUUGUUCAGUACAAUUUACUGUGGCAUUCUCUUGUGGAAUUUUUCGUGAUUACCACUAUUAGUUAUUGUAUUAUGCACGUAUUUAUGUUAACUAAAGUUAAAGUAACAACACAAUUAUGAUAAGACAAUGUAUCGGUUUGUGGUUUAAGACGUACGAACAAAACAAAAAGAAAAAGAUAUUCAAAGCUACUUUUGAUUCUUGGAGCAAUUAUGUCUUUAGCGAUUGCUUCUGAUACUUGUUUGUAUCAAAAAUUAUGGGACCCAUUCUUCGAUCCUGAAUAUCAAAUAGCAAACGAUGAUGACAAUAGUUCGGACGAAGAAAACGAUCCAAAUGUGCAAAAAAUAUUAUCAGCAAGUAUUUUAAGCGGCCAUACAUGUGAAGAUGAAAAUAAAAAAAG